rnacentral:lncRNA from 1 species
CAGGACGUCCUCUAAAGCAACUUCCGUGGGUGCCAGGUUAUGGGCUGGGGGCGGUGCUGACCUUGAGAGAGCGGAGGAGGCGCAGGCGCAGCACAGGUGGCAAUUGAAGCCGGAAGAACAUCUACCAAGAGCAGAGAACCCAGGAAGAAAAUUCUGCCUCUUUAAUACGUCCCAAUUUGGACGUUUUCCAUAUAGAUACCUAUCUAUAUAGAUAGAUGCUCU